GCCGAAAUAGCUCAGUUGGGGGAGAGCGUUAGACUGAAGAUCUAAAGGUCCCUGGUUCGAUCCCGGGUUUCGGCA